rnacentral:rRNA from 1 species
UACGGAGGGGACUAGCGUUGUUCGGAAUUACUGGGCGUAAAGGGCGCGUAGGCGGACAUUUAAGUCAGGGGUGAAAUCCCAGAGCUCAACUCUGGAACUGCCUUUGAUACUGGAUGUCUUGAGUGUGAGAGAGGUAUGUGGAACUCCGAGUGUAGAGGUGAAAUUCGUAGAUAUUCGGAAGAACACCAGUGGCGAAGGCGACAUACUGGCUCAUUACUGACGCUGAGGCGCGAAAGCGUGGGGAGCAAACAGG